UAAUACCGGAUAUGACCUUCCAUCGCAUGGUGGUUGGUGGAAAGCUUUUGCGGUUUUGGAUGGACUCGCGGCCUAUCAGCUUGUUGGUGGGGUAAUGGCCUACCAAGGCGACGACGGGUAGCCGGCCUGAGAGGGUGACCGGCCACACUGGGACUGAGACACGGCCCAGACUCCUACGGGAGGCAGCAGUGGGGAAUAUUGCACAAUGGGCGCAAGCCUGAUGCAGCGACGCCGCGUGAGGGAUGACGGCCUUCGGGUUGUAAACCUCUUUCAGUAGGGAAGAAGCGUAAGUGACGGUACCUGCAGAAGAAGCGCCGGCUAACUACGUGCCAGCAGCCGCGGUAAUACGUAGGGCGCAAGCGUUAUCCGGAAUUAUUGGGCGUAAAGAGCUCGUAGGCGGUUUGUCGCGUCUGCCGUGAAAGUCCGGGGCUCAACUCCGGAUCUGCGGUGGGUACGGGCAGACUAGAGUGAUGUAGGGGAGACUGGAAUUCCUGGUGUAGCGGUGAAAUGCGCAGAUAUCAGGAGGAACACCGAUGGCGAAGGCAGGUCUCUGGGCAUUAACUGACGCUGAGGAGCGAAAGCAUGGGGAGCGAACAGGAUUAGAUACCCUGGUAGUCCAUGCCGUAAACGUUGGGCACUAGGUGUGGGGGACAUUCCACGUUUUCCGCGCCGUAGCUAACGCAUUAAGUGCCCCGCCUGGGGAGUACGGCCGCAAGGCUAAAACUCAAAGGAAUUGACGGGGGCCCGCACAAGCGGCGGAGCAUGCGGAUUAAUUCGAUGCAACGCGAAGAACCUUACCAAGGCUUGACAUGAACCGGAAACGCCUGGAAACAGGUGCCCCACUUGUGGUCGGUUUACAGGUGGUGCAUGGUUGUCGUCAGCUCGUGUCGUGAGAUGUUGGGUUAAGUCCCGCAACGAGCGCAACCCUCGUUCUAUGUUGCCAGCACGUGAUGGUGGGGACUCAUAGGAGACUGCCGGGGUCAACUCGGAGGAAGGUGGGGACGACGUCAAAUCAUCAUGCCCCUUAUGUCUUGGGCUUCACGCAUGCUACAAUGGCCGGUACAAAGGGUUGCGAUACUGUGAGGUGGAGCUAAUCCCAAAAAGCC
rnacentral:rRNA from 1 species